GACGAACGCUGGCGGCGUGCUUAACACAUGCAAGUCGAACGAUGAAGCUGGAGCUUGCUCCGGUGGAUUAGUGGCGAACGGGUGAGUAACACGUGAGCAAUCUGCCCUUGACUCUGGGAUAACUGCGGGAAACUGUAGCUAAUACCGGAUACCUUCACUGGAAGGCAUCUUCUGGUGAAGAAAGAAUUUCGGUCAAGGAUGGGCUCGCGGCCUAUCAGCUUGUUGGUGAGGUAACGGCUCACCAAGGCGACGACGGGUAGCCGGCCUGAGAGGGUGACCGGCCACACUGGGACUGAGACACGGCCCAGACUCCUACGGGAGGCAGCAGUGGGGAAUAUUGCACAAUGGGCGCAAGCCUGAUGCAGCAACGCCGCGUGAGGGAUGAAGGCCUUCGGGUUGUAAACCUCUUUUAGCAGGGAAGAAGCGAAAGUGACGGUACCCGCAGAAAAAGCACCGGCUAACUACGUGCCAGCCGCCGCAGUAA
rnacentral:rRNA from 1 species